AUUGAACGCUGGCGGCAGGCCUAACACAUGCAAGUCGAGCGGAUGAAGAGAGCUUGCUCUCUGAUUCAGCGGCGGACGGGUGAGUAAUGCCUAGGAAUCUGCCUGGUAGUGGGGGACAACGUUUCGAAAGGAACGCUAAUACCACAUACGUCCUACGGGAGAAAGCAGGGGACCUUCGGGCCGUGCGCUAUCAGAUGAGCCUAGGGCGGAUUAGCUAGUAGGUGGGGUAAAGGCUCACCUAGGCGACGAGCCGUAACUGGUCUGAGAGGAUGAUCAGUCACACUGGAACUGAGACACGGUCCAGACUCCUACGGGAGGCAGCAGUGGGGAAUAUUGGACAAUGGGCGAAAGCCUGAUCCAGCCAUGCCGCGUGUGUGAAGAAGGUCUUCGGAUUGUAAAGCACUUUAAGUUGGGAGGAAGGGCAGUAAGCUAAUACCUUGCUGUUUUGACGUUACCAACAGAAUAAGCACCGGCUAACUUCGUGCCAGCCGCCGCCGUAACAC
rnacentral:rRNA from 1 species